UACGUAGGGAGCAAGCGUUGUCCGGAAUCAUUGGGCGUAAAGAGCGCGUAGGCGGUCCGGUAAGUCGGUUGUGAAAACUGGGGGCUCAACCCUCAGAGGCCGACCGAUACUGCCGGGCUAGAGUCCGGAAGAGGCGAGUGGAAUUCCUGGUGUAGCGGUGAAAUGCGCAGAUAUCAGGAGGAACACCAAUUGCGAAGGCAGCUCGCUGGGACGUUACUGACGCUGAGACGCGAAAGCGUGGGGAGCAAACAGG
rnacentral:rRNA from 1 species